rnacentral:rRNA from 1 species
UACGAAGGGGGCUAGCGUUGCUCGGAAUUACUGGGCGUAAAGGGCGCGUAGGCGGAUAGUUUAGUCAGAGGUGAAAGCCCAGGGCUCAACCUUGGAAUUGCCUUUGAUACUGGCUAUCUUGAGUAUGGAAGAGGUAUGUGGAACUCCUAGCGUAGAGGUGGAAUUCGUAGAUAUUAGGAAGAACACCAGUGGCGAAGGCGGCUCACUGGUCCGGUACUGACGCUGAGGUGCGAAAGCGUGGGGAGCAAACAGG